CAAAACUUUUCAGCUAGAGUAUGAUAGAGGAAAGCAGAAUUUCUAGUGUAGAGGUGAAAUUCGUAGAUAUUAGAAAGAAUACCAAUUGCGAAGGCAGCUUUCUGGAUCAUUACUGACACUGAGGAACGAAAGCAUGGGUAGCGAAGAGGAUUAGAUACCCUCGUAGUCCAUGCCGUAAACGAUGUGUGUUAGACGUUGGAAAUUUAUUUUCAGUGUCGCAGCGAAAGCGAUAAACACACCGCCUGGGGAGUACGACCGCAAGGUUAAAACUCAAAUGAAUUGACGGGGACCCGCACAAGUAGUGGAGCAUGUGGUUUAAUUCGAAGAUACGCGCAGAACCUUACCAACACUUGACAUGUUCGUCGCGACUCUAAGAGAUUAGAGUUUUCGGUUCGGCCGGACGAAACACAGGUGCUGCAUGGCUGUCGUCAGCUCGUGUCGUGGGAUGUUGGGUUAAGUCCCGCAACGAGCGCAACCCUCACUUUUAGUUGCCAUCAUUAAGUUGGGCACUCUGAAAGAACUGCCAGUGAUAAGCUGGAGGAAGGUGGGGACGACGUCAAGUCCUCAUGGCCCUUACGUGUUGGGCUACACACGUGCUACAAUGGUAUCUACAACAGGAAGCAAAACGGCGACGUUAAGCAAAUCCUCAAAAGAUACCUCAGUUCGGAUUGCACUCUGCAACUCGAGUGCAUGAAGCUGGAAUUACUAGUAAUCGUGGAUCAGCGUGCCACGGUGAAUGCGUUCCCGGGCCUUGUACACACCGCCCGUCACACCAUGGGAGUUGGUUCUACCUUAAGGCAAGGUUUAAAACCCUUGACCACGGUAUAGUCAGCGACUGGGGUGAAGUCGUAACAAGGUAGCCGUA
rnacentral:rRNA from 1 species